rnacentral:rRNA from 1 species
AGCGAACGCUGGCGGCAGGCUUAACACAUGCAAGUCGAGCGCCCCCGCAAGGGGGAGCGGCAGACGGGUGAGUAACACGUGGGAACGUACCCUUUGGUUCGGAACAACACAGGGAAACUUGUGCUAAUACCGGAUAAGCCCUUACGGGGAAAGAUUUAUCGCCAUUGGAGCGGCCCGCGCCUGAUUAGCUUGUUGGUGAGGUAAUGGCUCACCAAGGCUACGAUCAGUAGCUGGUCUGAGAGGAUGAUCAGCCACACUGGGACUGAGACACGGCCCAGACUCCUACGGGAGGCAGCAGUGGGGAAUAUUGGACAAUGGGGGAAACCCUGAUCCAGCCAUGCCGCGUGGGUGAUGAAGGCCCUAGGGUUGUAAAGCCCUUUCGGCGGGGAAGAUAAUGACGGUACCCGCAGAAGAAGCCCCGGCUAACUUCGUGCCAGCCGCCGCGGUAACAC